GCUGACGUUCUCGUCUAAGGGCGGCGGCGCUGCCGGUGGGCGGUUGGGCCCGUCCCGUCCCAGGGUUUCAGGCUGCCGCCCGGGAAGCGUGCGUCCUCCUUCCCUGUGGCGGCUUGUCGGUGGCCCGCCGUGCUUCCCAGCGCCAUGCUUCUGCUGGGGGGGGAGGGGGCUGAGUCCUCGGCGUCGCAGCCGUGCCGCUAAAAGUUAGCGAGAGCUUUCUUCUGCCGGCGCGCAGGCUCGGGCCUCCUCCGGAACUUUAUCUAUUUUUUCAAGGCUGACUUGGACGUUAGCAUUUGCCAUCUCGGGUUUAAAUAGAGCCGUAGGAGGGAGUACUUGUGGAAUUUUGCUGUCACAUGUGAAGGAUUCCACUUGCAUUUGGCAGCUGCAGUUUUACUGCCUCUUGUUGGAGGUCACCGAACCCACGGCAGAACUGGCAUCUCCCCAUCUGUUUCAUGGCAAAGUAUGACAUCUUCAUUCAACCCCCACCCCGCACCGGUGUUUUAAACUGAGAUACCGACUUUGCAUUUGAAGCAGCUGACAAAUGAAGGAGUGCUCUGCUGCUGGCUCUGCUAAUAGCAGUGGUCACUUCUGUCGGAUGAGUAAAGCCAGAAUCAACAAUAUCUUUUAGUGAGGUUCGAUGGGUUUGUUAAAAUUUAAACUGUGAUUUUUAUAGGGAAAAAAAUUGUCUCUAGUUUAAAUACUGGUUUAUAAUGCCCUCCCUAGGAUGUACUGUGUACUGUUCCUGCUCUCUCCCUUCCUUACUUGGUUCUGUUGUUUAGCAUACCUCCUUUCCUCAGACUGUCCUUUUUCAUACUGCUCUUGCUUUUGCACUUCUCAGUCAUUGGCACCUGGACGUAUUCUUACAUGUUUCUGCUUGCUUACAUAUGUUCUUGCUCUUUCCUGUGAGUUAGGUCACUCUGUUUCUGUCUUCAGUGCUCCUGGACGAUGGCAAGAAAGAGCCCAGAGCAUGGUAGGGCAUUUCUUCUCUCUUGCCUGAUUUAAAAAAAAUUAAAAAAAAAAUUCAAGUUUUGCUUAGCAGAAGGGGACUUUUCGGUGAUCGUGGUCUUAGCCUCUUAACAACGUAUGACUUCAAAAUUUUCUGGCACUAAAUGCUAUUAGGGCAGUAAAAAUGCACUCUUAACCUUAGAUGGACAGCCAGCAAAGUUCAAAUUAUUGUUCAGAAGCACUGGAGCUUUCUAUUUAAACAUAUAUAGUAUUUCUUCUUCUGGCAAAAUAGUAUGCUUCAUGGGUCUUGUCCUCGUAGAUCACAGUCCUUUUGCUUUGACUUGAAGCAAUGGUGUAACAGUUAGUAAAAGUUUUGCUGUCUACUCCCCCCACGCCUCCAUAUUAUCACAGUGUUAAAUGGGGAAUUUGGAUUUGAUUUAAUGCAGUUUCCUUUAUAAGUGAAUAAACCUUUGCAGUAGGAGGUAGGUACAGUUAGCUGAUGGUGCCCAAAACAAUUAUCUUGUCCUUCUUCUGUAACAAACAUGUUAAACUUAUUUUUCAAGAUGUGGCCUAAGUGUUUUAAGGCAAAAAGAAAGAAUGGUUCUGUGGUUGAGGCACAAGAUUUGCAUUAAGCUUUAGAUUGGGUUGCUGGCAAAUUCUGCUAGUUGUUCAGGAUUAAGGACUUGGAUGUUUUUUUUGUUCUUGGUUCUGCUGAUUGCCCACCCAGAACUGCAGUCCAGAGCCCCGAGUGAGGUCUGGGUUCCGUGAGCCAAUCCUGGCAGGAGAGCCCUUGUUGAGUGUUACCUGAUAUUCUCAUCUGGGUCUCUCCAAGAUCCAUUUUAGCUCUGCUGCUCUCAAGUACUAUGUGGUGGCUGAUAAAAGUUGCUGUAGCACGCUUGUCUCAUAAGCUGAGCUUAUUGCCCAGAACCAACAUGUGCCCCGUCACUGCAGGUGUUACACAUGCGUGGCUGGGCCUAGACGUUGGCGCUCUUAACAGAAACUGCUUUUUUUGAAACUCUGAGCUUGAGAUUUAGCUGGAAGAUGUAACCAUUUCCUUUGUCAGCUUCCGGGAAUCUAAGCCAAACAGGAAUUGAAUGAGGGGUAAUAAUUCCUUAAUUAUAAAUCUUUUGAAGUAUUUCACAAUCCAGAUAAGAUAACUUGCCUGAUGGACAUGUUUCCUCCUUUCAGCUAAGUGUUAAUAGAACUACCAAAUAGGAAAAAGAGCAAAGUUUACACAGUGUCUUUCACUAACAGCAAUUGAAUAAUAUUUUAGACUGCACUAGUACGUGUUUUCUAAACAUAAGUUAAAUAAAGGUCCUUUGUAACUUAAA